GGGUGUAUAGCUUAAUUAGGGUGAAAGCAGUAAAUUUUUAAUUUAUUAGUUUUAGGUUCAAAUCCUAAUAGACCCA
rnacentral:tRNA from 1 species